rnacentral:lncRNA from 1 species
CUUUCCUACAUCUCCUGAAUGUUAGAUGCGGCCAAAUAUUGCUAUUCCUAACUUAGACUAAUACCCAUAUAACCCAAGUCCAUAGACACAAGCUCUGGGGUUACUUUGACAUAACUCUGGGGUUACUUUGAGUGCACUGCUGCUAUUUACUGUCUUCUGUGAAGCCAUAGAAUGAAUCUUAACUGAUGCUUACCUACCCUACUCUCCACUAGAAGCACAUGCAUGGUCAAAUCCUUCCAGUUUUUUAAAAAAGGCUGUACAGGAAGCAUGAUUCUGGCAUCUCCUCAACUUCUAGGAAGACCUCAGAAAACCUUCAAUCAUGGCAGAAGAUGAAGGGUAAGCAGGCAUAUCUUACAUGGCCAAAGCAGGAGUAAGGAUGAGGUGGAGGUGCUAACACUUGUAAACAACUAGAUAUCAUGGUAACUCACUCAUUUAAUAUCAACAGAAUAGCACUGAGGGCAUGGUGCUAAACCAUUAUGAAAAACUGCCCCCAUGAUCAAAUCACCUCACACCGGGCCCCACCUCCAACAUUUGGGAUUACAAUUGACCAUGAGAUUUGGGUGGGGACACAGAUCUAAACCAUAGCAUUCUGCCCCUGGCCCCUCCAUAUUUCUUGUUCUUCUCACAUUUCAAAAUCUAAUCAUGCCUUCCCAAUAGUCCCUCAGCAUCUAAACUAAUUCCCGCAUUUAAAAAAAAAAAAUCCAUAGUCUAAUCUGAGCUAAGGCUAGUUCCUUCUGCCUAUGAGCCUGUAAAAUAAAAAACAAGUUAAUUACCUCCAAACACAACAAGUUACAUUCCAAAAUACAAUGGGAAUAUAUGCAUUGGGCAAAUAUUCCCAUUCCAAAAGAAAGAAAUAGGCCAUCAAAGGGGGCUACAGGUCCCAUGAAAUUCCAAAAUGCCACAGGGAAGUAAUUAAAUCCUAAAGCUCCAAAAUAAUCUCCCUUGACUCCAUGUCCUAUAACCAGGGUCCACUAGUGUGAGUAGACUCCCAAGGACUUAGGCAUUUCUGCUUCUGUUUCUUUGCAGAAUUCAGACCCCAUGGCUGCUCUUACAGGCUGGUGGUGAGUGCCUGCAGCUUUUCCAGGUGCAAGGUGCAAACUCUUAGUGGAUCUGCAAUUUUGGGGAUCUGGAGGAUGGAGGCACUCUUCUCUCAGCUCCACUAGGUGGUGCCCCAGUGGGGACUUGGUGAGGGGGCUUCAAACCCACAGUUACUGUCCUUGCUGCUCUAGAAGGGGUUUUCUAAGAGGGCUCCUCCCCUGAAGAAGGCUUCUGCCUGGACAUUCAGGCUUUUUCAUACAUCUUCUGAAAUCUAGGUGGGGGUUCCCAACCCUAAACUCUUGUACUCUGCAUGCCUGCGGGAUUAACACCAUGUGGGAGCUGCCAAGGCAUAUGGCUUACACCCUCUGAAGAAUCAACCUGAGCUCUACCUGAGCUCCUU